UACAGGCUUAACACAUGCAAGUCGAGGGGCAGCAUGGUCUUAGCUUGCUAAGGCUGAUGGCGACCGGCGCACGGGUGAGUAACACGUAUCCAACCUGCCGUCUACUCUUGGCCAGCCUUCUGAAAGGAAGAUUAAUCCAGGAUGGGAUCAUGAGUUCACAUGUCCGCAUGAUUAAAGGUAUUUUCCGGUAGACGAUGGGGAUGCGUUCCAUUAGAUAGUAGGCGGGGUAACGGCCCACCUAGUCAACGAUGGAUAGGGGUUCUGAGAGGAAGGUCCCCCACAUUGGAACUGAGACACGGUCCAAACUCCUACGGGAGGCAGCAGUGAGGAAUAUUGGUCAAUGGGCGAUGGCCUGAACCAGCCAAGUAGCGUGAAGGAUGACUGCCCUAUGGGUUGUAAACUUCUUUUAUAAAGGAAUAAAGUCGGGUAUGCAUACCCGUUUGCAUGUACUUUAUGAAUAAGGAUCGGCUAACUCCGUGCCAGCAGCCGCGGUAAUACGGAGGAUCCGAGCGUUAUCCGGAUUUAUUGGGUUUAAAGGGAGCGUAGAUGGAUGUUUAAGUCAGUUGUGAAAGUUUGCGGCCCAACCGUAAAAUUGCAGUUGAUACUGGAUGUCUUGAGUGCAGUUGAGGCAGGCGGAAUUCGUGGUGUAGCGGUGAAAUGCUUAGAU
rnacentral:rRNA from 1 species